CGUUCAGUGGCCGAUCUGGUAAAGGCAUCGCUGAUUACAGGCAAAGAUGCGGGUUCGAGUCCCGCUGGAACGG
rfam:Operophtera brumata OBRT01_Sc01861, whole genome shotgun sequence.